UGCUUUGCAUGGAAAAUAUAAUGGGCUAUCGGCAGUUAUUUGAUGAUAUUUUACUGUGAUAGCCAGUAAUUGCCUUCUUCAGCCUAGAAUAAUAAUACCAAUAAACUAAUCAAUUUGAAUUCAUUAAUCCUGACUCUAAAUCAAAUUAAUUCAGAUAUUGUACAGAUUAUUUGUAUUAAUUCACUUAUGCAAGAUUCACAAAUAAAAGACCAUCAAACACAGAGU